rnacentral:rRNA from 1 species
CCAAAAACGGUUAAUCCUUUAAAGACCAUUUGUUAUUGUGCUACCUUUAUUUGCUGCACGCCAUCAUGGAAUUUAUUGAGUUCCCAGUUGAGAACAUUUAUCAUCUAAGAAAUUAGGAAUAUGCUCCCAUCUAAUAAAACGACUAUUAAAGUGCCAGCAGUCGCGGUCAUACUUUAGUUUAUAAUAAAGUCAAUCAGGAUAUGUGUAAGUUAGCUUAUAACCUGUAGUGAAAUACGGUUUACAUACUUCAGUACUUAAAAUACGAUUAAUACUGAUCACAAACAGGGAUUAGAUACCCCUCUAUGCAGUCCAUAAUCAACAUCCUGGGCACUACAACUACAAAGUUGAAACCCAACUAACAUGGCGGUAGAUUAAAUCUUUAGGGGAACUUACUAAGUAAAUGAUACCCACCAAGAUAAUGCACGUUAAGUGACAUUUUACAUACCGUCGUCGUCAGAUAUACUAAAAUAGGAUAUCAAACUACUUGCAAAGUAAAAGGACAGAUCAAGGUGUAGACUAUCUUAACGUUUUAGCGAGUUACAAUAUUAUUUAUUUUCGUAACCUAGUACUAUUACUACUUACCGUUGGACUUAAAAGUAAUAGUUAUAAAGUAUACAGUAUGAAUAAUUUUAAUCUGUGC